rnacentral:sRNA from 1 species
UUUUAGCGUUAGGGAUUGCAGCGGCAUCCUUUUUUUGUGAAAAAAAGAUACAGCGGAAAGCGCGACCCUUG